GGGGAAUUUUGGACAAUGGGGGCAACCCUGAUCCAGCCAUGCCGCGUGUGUGAAGAAGGCCUUCGGGUUGUAAAGCACUUUCGGACGGAACGAAAUCGCGCGGGUGAAUAUCCCGCGUGGAUGACGGUACUGUAAGAAGAAGCACCGGCUAACUACGUGCCAGCAGCCGCGGUAAUACGUAGGGUGCGAGCGUUAAUCGGAAUUACUGGGCGUAAAGCGUGCGCAGGCGGCUUCGCAAGUCAGACGUGAAAUCCCCGGGCUUAACCUGGGAAUGGCGUUUGAAACUACGGAGCUGGAGUGUGGCAGAGGGAGGUAGAAUUCCACGUGUAGCGGUGAAAUGCGUAGAUAUGUGGAGGAAUACCGAUGGCGAAGGCAGCCUCCUGGGCCAACACUGACGCUCAUGCACGAAAGCGUGGGGAGCAAAC
rnacentral:rRNA from 1 species